UACGUAGGGACCAAGCGUUGUUCGGAUUUACUGGGCGUAAAGGGCGCGUAGGCGGCAAUUCAAGUCAGUGGUGAAAUCCUGGGGCUCAACCUCAGAAUUGCCAUUGAAACUGGAUAGCUAGAGAAUGUUAGAGGAAAGUGGAAUUCCUAGUGUAGGAGUGAAAUCCGUAGAGAUUAGGAGGAAUAUCGAUGGCGAAGGCAGCUUUCUGGGACAUUUCUGACGCUGAGAAACGAAAGCGUGGGUAGCAAACAGGG
rnacentral:rRNA from 1 species